GCUCAUCAGAGGCAUCGGCGCUGCCAGGAGGCCCUGAGGCCCGCCCUGCCCACGAAGCCGGCCCACCCUCCCACCGGCCGGACAGGGAGGCAGGGCCAGGGGGCAGGUGGAGGCCUCACCUCUCCAAAAGGAGAAGCAACUCGUGCACGUGGAUCCAGUCACCACUCUGGACACCGACAUGCUCCGAACCAGGGAGAACCGGGACCUGGGAUCUUCGAGCCGGUCCCCAGAUGCCGAAGCAUGCUUGGCUGAUUUUUCUCGUUCGCCUCGGGGUCCUUCGUGGCAAGGUCUGACUGCACCGAGGCACUCUGUUUUGUGAAACCCCAGCCCCCAGACGCCCCGGAGGAGGGGCGACCUCAUUCCUGCAGAUCCAGGCAGCAGCCCUGAUGAAGAAUUACAGAGGAAAUGCAAUAACCUAAUUCUCCUCCAACCUGGCCCUGCUGCGCCUGCAGCCCUGAGCCUACCUGGCCGGGGCUGCAGGCAGCACCUCCCAACCUGGGGACGCAGUACAACGGGGCUCCCAUAGGGCUCUGCCAGGCACGGACCCCACUUCCCAACGCCCAGCUCCACGGCCAAGCCACGACCCUCACACAAGCCACAUUUUUAGGACAUGCAAGAACGACCUCAGAGCUCGAGGCGGUUCUGGAAAGAGGGGAGCGAGCCCCAGACAUGCAUCCUCUUACUCCCAGCACACCCCAAUCACAGCCAGGGAGGAAGACACACACAUCAUUCUCAUCUGGUGCCAGAGGGCUCCAGGUGUGUCCCACGCAGCGCUCCGGGUGCUGGGGUGACUUAGAGGAGACUGGCAGAAACCGGGGCCCCGGGCCUGCCCUUCCCCGCGGUUCUCUCCUCCGUCUCUCUUCCCUUGGAAGCGUCUGUUUCAAGGUGACCCUGUUUCGCAAGUUAGCCCCAGCGUCCCUGCCUGCUCACAGAACCAGGGGCCUCCCAGUAAUUAACACCCGCACUUGAUGAGGUCCAGCUGGCAAACUGAAGCCAUGCCAGCAUCCACCACCAAACCACCCGGCUCCUCCUGGGCUCCUCCAGCCGGGCCCCUCCCUCCAACGGCCAUUCCGGCCACCCUGUCCCCAGAGAAGAGGGCGAAAGUCGCCCGACUGGCUAGCGCGGAUGCUCAAUAAGGAGUGCUUUAUAAUAACGAAAAACUAAACACUCCAACGGGGAAUUUGUUGAGUAGACUGUAGCACUUCCCUACAAUCCACCACCAAGCGGUCACUAAAAAAUAACAGUUAGAGGUGCAUUUACUGGUACAGAAAGUUAUCACCGUCCACUGUUGAGGGAAAAGGUUACAAA